rnacentral:rRNA from 1 species
GAUGAACGCUGGCGGCGUGCCUAACACAUGCAAGUCGAGCGGCAGCGCGGGGUGCUUGCACCCUGUCGGCGAGCGGCGGACGGCUGAGUAACGCGUGGGAACGUGCCCCAAAGUGAGGAAUAACUGCCCGAAAGGGUAGCUAAUACCGCAUAUUAUCUUCGGAUCAAAGGAUUUAUCCGCUUUGGGAGCGGCUCGCGUCGGAUUAGGUAGUUGGUGAGGUAAUGGCUCACCAAGCCGACGAUCCGUAGCUGGUCUGAGAGGAUGACCAGCCAGACUGGAACUGAGACACGGUCCAGACUCCUACGGGAGGCAGCAGUGAGGAAUCUUCCACAAUGGGCGAAAGCCUGAUGGAGCAACGCCGCGUGCAGGACGAAGGCCUUCGGGUUGUAAACUGCUUUUAUAAGUGAGGAAUAUGACGGUAACUUAUGAAUAAGGAUCGGCUAACUGCGUG